UCUUAAAAUUUUUCCGGUGAAAUUUGAUAGAAAAACUGAAUUUUCACUACACUAUUCGAGUUUAUUCUGCGCCUUAAGGCUGUGUUAAGGCUUGUUUAACCUUCUUAAAAUGUAAGUACCCAUUAUUUUGCAUGUUUUCUAUGUUUUUUUUUAAGUAUUUCAAUUACAUCAUCAAAAACUGAUGUAUUUUUCCUAUUUCCAUAAUUUUCUUUUUCAAAAUCGAGUUAAUUGGAGUAUAGAUACUUUCCCUGAUGUCCCUAUUGUACAUUAAAAGUAUUGUUACUUAGAAUAAUGCUCUAUAUUUAGAGCUAUUCGGUAUAUUUUGAACCAUUUUUUUGCCCAGAGGUUAAAGAUGUUUUUUAUUCCUAAAGAUUUAGGUUUUUAUUCGUACAGGCAAACGAGUAUUUUCUACGUUGUUUAGAAUAAAUCAGUGUUAGUAUACCUAAAUGGGGGCCCAUUCUAAAUAAUUAUAUAACACUUUCAGAUAAAAUAAAAUAUUAACACAUAUAUAAUAGGUACUAUUGCACUAUCGUCUGAUUUUUGUUAACAAGUUUGCAUCGUUUAAGUGUAAUGUUUAAUUAAUAUAUAUUUUUCUUUUUUUGGAAAUGCUCCAUGCUUGAUGAUACACACGAGCACAUAAAGAUCACCUAAAAGAAGAGACCUGGGUCACCUCUUGUAUAAUCCUGAUGUUUGGCCAUCAUUUUGUUUUACGAGUUGGUCUUCCAUUAUCUGAUUAAAAAUUUUGUACACAACAAAUUGAUAGAUCAACCAUCUUAUUCAAGAUACCAUCAGACUAAUUAUAUUAGACAUUCAACAUUCAACAGUGGAAUGAGGAUGAAAUUCAUCAUUGAAGGUUAACUAAAUAACUUUAGAUGUUGUACAACAAAUUGAUGGAUGUAUACAGUUCCAGGGCAGUACAUUUAUCCUUUGACGAAUAUUGCCAACAAUGCAUCAGGACUUGAGUAUAUCAAAAAUUGGUAAAAUACAUAUAUUUUACUGGUUUUUCAUCAGUGGAUUUCAUCAUUUUUAAAUUUAAACAAGAAAAAAAAUUUCAUUGGGUCUCUGAGUUUAUUUUUUAUGGUUCCUUAUUAUCUUGAAGACAAAUUCAAGCUAUCUAUUUUUAAUUUCGACCAAUUUUCUGCUUUUUGCCACUUCUUUUUCUUUUUGGUAUGAUACUAUGUUCUUAAAACAUUAUGUUGUUCAAUGGUGAACUGUCAUUUUUCUAUAAUAUCUUGACUCUCAUAUUUCUUCAUUA